rnacentral:tRNA from 1 species
UCCCUGGAGGACUAGUGGUUAGGCCUCAGCACUCUCCCCACCGCGGCCUGGGUUCGCUUCCCGGCCAGGGAA